rnacentral:lncRNA from 1 species
GGGUGCUGGACCAAGUUUCAGAUUUUCUUGGAGCUGCAUAUGUCUUGGAGUUGAUGCCUUGAGGCUUAAAGUCUUCUUUCUGUUGUUGGCCUUGGGCAUUUGACCCAAUUUUUGUGAGAUCUCUCCAACUGCUCCCUCUUUGAUUGGUUAGCUUUACUUCUAUCCUGCUUCUGUGGACUAAUCCUCUUCAAGCCUUUAUCUUUUUCUUAGUAAAUUACGUAUUAUAUUCAUUUCUUUAUAUUAAUAGAGCUUGGGUGGCUUCAGCCUCC